rnacentral:lncRNA from 1 species
AUGGCCGUUUCUCCCCACAGUGGAGCUCCUAACUCUGGCGGAGCCCACUUCGCGUGGGUGUUGCCUCCCUUUCCGCCAAAGGGGUUGGAUCCGAACGUGCGCCUUCCUCUCACCAGCCCCACUCGCCCCGCCGCCAGGAGCACUUGCAGGAAAAGUGUGGCCCGGCCCAGGGCGGGGUUGCUCCGGAUGCGACCUGUACCGCCCUGCUCUCCUCCCCAAACUCACGCUGCCCUCGGACCCCAGCCUGUCCCGUCGCGCUCAGCGCCCGAAGCUCGCCGUGCCGACGCCCAGGAGACCUCCUGCCUCGGUCGCGAUUCCUGGAGGGCCGAUCGCCCACCCGCCCGGGUCCGCCUGAGGACGGGGGCGCCUUCAUGCGGCCCCCACAUUCCUCAUCCCGCCGCCGCCGCCGUCUCCGAGCUCCGCGCGCUGCGCCCCAGCCCCAGCAGGGCACUCAACUUUGGAAGUCCCGCGACGCUCCGAGAGGCGGCAGAGUCCGCACCGUGGCCCCAACCCGGGCCCCGCCGGCCCCGCCGCGUCUGGGGGAAGCGAGAGAGUCGGUGUUCGCUUCGGAGAUAUAAGGAGAGAGACACACGACCCCAAGCCAGCAUCAGCACCCCUCGGCUGCCUCCCGGGUUGGGGGCGGGCCCCGCACACGAAUAAAUAUCUCUUUCCCCAUCGGUUCGACCUACUCUCUCCCGCCGCUUAGAAAUAAAACUUGGCUGUAUCUGGGAGCUGGGAGCGAGAAGGCGCCGACCCCGAGAGCCCGAAGCGCGCGGACCGGGUGCGGUUCGCGGGAGCCGGGCCCAUGGGCCGCUAGCGGUCCCCCAGCUCGGGGCCCGGCCUCCCUGAGGCCCCUUCUCCAUGUGAGGUGCGGCGGGGCGAGCGGGGCGCGAGAGGAAGAGGAGGACCCACGGGCACCGGGCCGGAAGGCAGCUGGCAGCAGGCCCAG